AUUGAACGCUGGCGGCAGGCCUAACACAUGCAAGUCGAGCGAGCGGCGGACGGGUGAGUAAUGUAUGGGGACUGCCCGAUAGAGGGGGAUAACUACUGGAAACGGUGGCUAAUACCGCACACUGUCGGAUAACCCAUAUGGGAUUAGCUAGUAGGUAAGGUAAUGGCUGACCUCGGCGACGAUCCCUAGCUGGUCUGAGAGGAUGAUCCGCCACACGGGGACUGAGACAGGGCCCAGACUCCUACGGAGGCAGCAGUGGGGAAUAUUGGACAAUGGGCGCAAGCCUGAUGCAGCCAUGCCGCGUGUAUAAAGAAGGCCCUAGGGUUGUAAAGUAUUUUCAGUCGGGAGGCGUUACCGACAGAAGAAGCACCGGCUAACUCCGUGCCAGCAGCCGCGGUAAUUC
rnacentral:rRNA from 1 species